rnacentral:lncRNA from 1 species
UUGGCUAUCCAAAAAUUUUAAUAUCUUUCACACCAUUAUUGAUUACUCCCUUCAUUCUGUGAUAUAGUAUAUUCUGGCAUUCAAAAUUUGUUCUCCAAUAUAAUGCAUUCUAGAGGACAAAAUCCAAUUUUGUAUUAAUACUUUCUAUUUAUCAAAUAAUCAUCAUUAAUCACGUUGAUGAUAAUAUCUAAUUAGGAAAUAAAAUGGGGGU